CCCUUACUGGUCUGGGUGAGCCCCCUAAAGCAUCACAAAAGUGAAGAGGAACACCAGGCCCAUUUGGAAGUGCAGGAAGAACCUUAGCCCUGCAGGGGCCUGCCUGACUCUGCAUUGUCUGGGGAAGCCUCUGAUGCUGGGAGGAGUCACCGGUGACCAGUUCAGCCAGUCCCAAUGGGGCACAAGAGCCUUAAUGUGAUGAAGAAUUGGGCCCUGGUGGUAUUGAUAAUGUGUUCCUCAGAGCUUGAUUCAACAUUCCGGUCCCUUCAGGUCAAGGCUGAGAAAGUUCACAUCUCUCUGAUCUCCAAUGAGUCUUCUGGUACAACUAGGGAAGGCCAGACUUAACAUGCCUGAUAUUUCUACAAAACACAAACAUGCUUCCCCCCACCUCAUGAACAACAAAGACAAAGCAACCAGCCUUCCCUGCUUUCUUUACACAUCAAGGAGAAACAAAAGAAAAAUGUGAUGGGGUGUAGAAACCACACAUUGGGUUAAUGACAGGCCAUGGGUGCAAUCAGCCCUGCCCUGUUAUGCCUGCAGUAGGUGUCAAGGCUGGAGGGAGGAGCUAAAAGGGCUGAAUCUGGCUUAGUUGAGAACUGGCUAGGGAAGGAGAGUAGCAGCAUGUGCUGCGGACCUGCGGGAUCGGUC